ensembl:lncRNA
CAUUUCACACCUGUACUCCAAAAACGAGCCAGCGCUGCCUGUCCGCUGAAACAUCACGGGAGCGAUCGGAACGUCGCUCAUUCCGCUCGGCCGCGAGUAAAACCGGGGUGUGAACGACGACGGCGAACGAGUGUCACAAGACGGCGCCGGGACAGACGGACAGACGGGGGGCGGAGUCCGGGGCGGAGACGCAUCGCCAAGGCUUUGCUUCAUGGUGUAACUGCAGGUGAAGCGCGUCGGGGAUAUGCAGCUGCCUGGGUGUCUAUUUUCAUCCCCUCCGUGUUAAAUAAUGCAGAAGACUUGUAGUACAACCCGAUCCCUCAGUCACACAGUGCAGGUAUUCGGUGAGAGCUGAAAGAUCAAGACGCACAGAACAAUGCGGCACGCAGAGCUAAAAAAGGGCUGACGUAUGAACAGUGAGUCUGACAGCCCAGCCGAGGAAACAACAGGUUUAUUUGUGACUCUCGGCGAACGAACACACCGGAGACGGAUGCAAUACCUCUGUGCGUCUGCCAUCCGCAGGUGAGGGGGGCUACGCUGGCAUCACAAUGUCCUCCCCCCAUGCCAACCACAACCCACAGUGCUUGUCCCUACUUUAUCUUUUGUUUUUGCAGAAAACCACCAGCUUCCGUAAAAGACUCAAGACUCACUUGUGCAGAGUUCACCUAGACUCUGAAUAGCCUCACCCCUUACCCCCCUCUUACGCACCAAUAUUAUGUUGUACGUCCUGGGACUUAAUGUACGCACUUAUUGCAUGUUGUACGUCCUGGGACUUAAAAAUAGUACUUAGCAUUGUGCAGCAUCUUAUCCCAUUUAUCUUUGUUGUAAACGGGGUAUGGGUUAACCUAACGAUUGUUAGUGCUUGGCACUUGGUUCUAUGAAAAUCCUUAAUGUAGUGACGGAGAUAUAUUGUUUGAUUCUUGAUUCUUCUUCUGAUAAAUUGACUUAUUGUUAGUCCCUUUGGAUAAAAGUCUGGUCUGCUCAAUGCCCUUAAUGUUAAUGUAAACGUAAAUGCUGAAACCGUAGGCAUAGAGCAAAACCCUUUUGUAUUGAUUUGGGUGUUAUGCUAGUUUGCUGUCCAAGUUCAAAGAGCU